rfam:Ictidomys tridecemlineatus contig061858, whole genome shotgun sequence.
GCAAAAGUAACUCAGAGGUAGAGUAUUUAUCUAGCAAGUGGGAGGCCCUAGGUUCUAUCCCUAGCAGUGCA